GAUUAAAAAAAAAAAAAGAGGAGAUCAUAAGAUAAGGAUCAAAGGAUAGACAUAAGUGACAUAAUUAUAACUUAAAAUACAAUCAUAACAAAAACAACAGGGAUUGAAAAGACACCCUUGACCAUAAAUAUUGCUUAGUAUUUACAAUUCCACUCCAAAUUUCUCCCUAUAAAUCCUUGAAAGGGAUUGAGAAAGAAAUUAGUGAAGGAACCCCUUAAAAGACAGAACUUGACCACUCAUCUUCAUCCAUUGUUAUUCUUCUUAAGCAUCAUCAUCAUCAUCAUCACAAGAAAAAGAAAACAGCAAAGAAAUCCAAGUCUGUCUUCUGAGCCUUUUCCUCAGCUUUCCUGUGCUUGUGCUUGUUCAUCUUCCUCUUUUCUCUUCUUCUUCACGCAAUCAGGCCACAUCCCGAACCUCGUCAUUCUGCACAUCUUGGAUCUACCCAGCUAAUAAAAUCGGGUACGAACAUAACGCAAAUGGAUGCAUCGAUAAGUACGGCAAAGAAUCGAAAUGGGUCAAGUGAGAAAGUUAUACUCUGUUUGCUUGGGAGGAGGCAAAUUAAAGGAUAAAUUUUUGGUAUUUUUAUUAAUACAAGCACAAUGGCGGAUUAGGAGGUUAUAUUAGGUGAUCACUGAGCAGAUAUCCUUCUCUCAACAACAAGAUGACAUCCAUGAAGCAUGGAAAUUUGCAAAUAUUCGGUCUACUAAAA
rnacentral:misc_RNA from 1 species